AGGAGAUUCACACAAAGCUCCUGGGAGUGCCCAGGACUGUCCCAAUUCCAUGGAAUUCCUGUGCUACUCCUGAUCUUCCAUGAAGACACUGAACAAUCCCUGCUGUGAGGAUGCACGUGAAGGAAAGCACUGGAUGCCAUUUGCUUUUUAAUCUGGAAAAAGGGGGAGAGAAGAGAAAGGCCCAGGAGCUGCAGGUUGUCCAAGAGGUUGUGGAUUCCACAUCCCUGGCAGUGAGCAAGGCCAGGCUGGAGGAAUUUGGGAUUAUGGAAAGUGUGUCUGCCCAGGGCAGGGAUUGGAACUGGAUGCUCCUUAAAUCCCUUCCAAGCAAACCCAAGCCAUGAUUUUUCUGUGAUUUUCCCUUCCAAGCAAACCCAACCCAUGAUUUUUCUGUGAUUUUCCCUUCCAAGCAAGCCCAAGCCAUGAUUUUUCUGUGAUUUUCCCUUCCAAGCAAACCCAAGCCAUGAUUUUUCUGUGAUUUUCCCUUCCAAGCAAGCCCAAACCAUGAUUUUUCUGUGAUUUUUCUGUGAUUUUCCCUUCCAAGCAAACCCAAGCCAUGAUUUUUCUGUGAUUUUCCCUUCCAAGCAAGCCCAACCCAUGAUUUUCCUGUGAUUUUUCUGUGAUUUUCCCUUCCAAGCAAACCCAAGCCAUGAUUUUUCUGUGAUUUUCCCUUCCAAGCAAACCCAAGCCAUGAUUUUUCUGUGAUUUUCCCUUCCAAGCAAACCCAAGCCAUGAUUUUUCUGUGAUUUUCCCUUCCCAGACCCAGGAUUGGGAACAUUUAAACCUUUCCCCCUCCUUGUUCCUCCCCAGGCUUUCCCUGAGCACCGAAUUUGGCAUUUCCUGACCAGCCUCCAGCAUUGCCAUGGUUUGUUCCCUCUGGGAAGUGAGGCCUCUCCAGCUCAUUUCCAGUCCAUCCCAAAUAAACAUCCUUCACUCCUGAGUGCCCUCUGCUCCUCACAGAGGUGGGAAAACCAAAAAAAGACCUCAUGUGCCCACAAACUCGGGGAUUUUGGGGCAUUUUCCCAAAUCCUCUGUCAUCAGCAACACUUGGCCUUGGAAAUUUGCACCUGGAUGGGACAUCCCAUCAACCCUAAAAUCUGGAAAUUCGGAAUUUUCUGUGCUGGGAACACUGCUGUUGAUCUGAGAGCUUGGAGAAGGCUUCUAAAAUUGAGUGAUAAAGUUAGAAUCACUGGUGUGUAAUUUGAAUAUCACAUGGUGAAGGGUUUGGGGUUUUGGAAUAUACUCAUAGG